AGUCGAACGAUUGCCUUCGGGUGAUAGUGGCGCACGGGUGCGUAACGCGUGGGAAUCUGCCCUUAGGUUCGGAAUAACAGCUGGAAACGGCUGCUAAUACCGGAUGAUAUCGCGAGAUCAAAGAUUUAUCGCCUGAGGAUGAGCCCGCGUUGGAUUAGGUAGUUGGUGGGGUAAAGGCCUACCAAGCCGACGAUCCAUAGCUGGUCUGAGAGGAUGAUCAGCCACACUGGGACUGAGACACGGCCCAGACUCCUACGGGAGGCAGCAGUGGGGAAUAUUGGACAAUGGGCGCAAGCCUGAUCCAGCAAUGCCGCGUGAGUGAUGAAGGCCCUAGGGUUGUAAAGCUCUUUUACCCGGGAAGAUAAUGACUGUACCGGGAGAAUAAGCCCCGGCUAACUCCGUGCCAGCAGCCGCGGUAAUACGGAGGGGGCUAGCGUUGUUCGGAAUUACUGGGCGUAAAGCGCACGUAGGCGGCUUUGUAAGUCAGAGGUGAAAGCCUGGAGCUCAACUCCAGAACUGCCUUUGAGACUGCAUCGCUUGAAUCCAGGAGAGGUCAGUGGAAUUCCGAGUGUAGAGGUGAAAUUCGUAGAUAUUCGGAAGAACACCAGUGGCGAAGGCGGCUGA
rnacentral:rRNA from 1 species